UGAUGAUGAUGGUGGUACAAGGUGUGUGGUCUUGUGGUGGUCGUGGUGGUGAUGGUGGUGGUGGUGCUGGUGGUGGUGACAUAGUUAAAUUAUGGGGUUAAGUCUGUACAAAAAAUAGGUUUUCUUUCACUACAAAAAAAGGUAAGUGGUUAUCGCAGGCAGGUAAGACUAGUUUUCAGUAAUAGUAGUAGUAGUAGUAGUAGUAGUAGUAGUAGUAGUAGGAGUAGUAGUAGUAGUAGUAGUAGUAGUAGUAGUAGUAGUAGUAGUAGUAGUAGUAGUAUAAGAAUAAAAAAAAAAAGAAGAAAACAAACAUAGACAUAAAUAAGAGGGAGAAACUAAUUAAGAAGCAAACAGUGAUAAGAAGACUGACAAGGAGGACGAGGCGGACGAGAAGGAGCAGUAGGAGGAGGAGGAGGAGGAGGAGAAAGAAGAGGAAGAAGAGAACGACAACGACCGAAGUGGAAAAGAAAGUAGGGAGAAAAGAAAAACUAAUAAAAAUCACCACAAAUAACAAAACCAUUAUCCACACCUGUUAUUACCUGUAUCCCUGCCACCCCUCUACCUGGGCCCUUAAUUAACAGGUAUGAAUGCCCUCCUGCUGGCGCUGCUGGGGACGUGGCUCCUCCCCCUUCAGGAGAGUGAGGGGGCGCCUCCUACACCUCCUCCCCCAGCACCUUUCAUGGGACAACGCAUCCUCUCUCCCUCCCCUCCCUCUUAAGUAUGAAGGUGGCGGGCGAGUGAAGCGUGAUGGCUACCAUGACAAGUGUCCCCCGGCAGUCGGAUUCUCCACCUUCGGAUUCCUGUCCUUCCUCCUCAUAGGAUUUAACACCGUCAUCAACAUCAUCAACGUCAUCAACAACAACAACAACAACAACAACAAUAACAACGAUAAUAAUAAUAAAUACAACAAUAAUAAUAAUAACGAGAAUAAUGAUGGCGCUGCUGGUCGUGCUGCUGGUGAUGGUGGUGGUGUUGUUGGUGGUGGUGGUGGUGGUGUUCUGAGACGUCGACGCAGUGAUGGUGGUGGUGAUGAUGGUGAUAAUGAGAGUGACGGUGAGAGACAAGCAAGAUUUUUUCCAGCACAAGGUAUUUGGGAUCUCUAUAAUUUCAAACGUCUUGUCUUUGGAGGAGAGAGUCAGGGAGAGAAAGGAGAGAAUAUAAAGAGAGAGGAUGAAGAAGAUGAGAAUGAAGAGGAGGAAGAAGGAACGUGUUUGUGUGAAGAUGAAGAAUACGAUGAUGAUGAAGUAUCGCUCCUGGACGUGCUGAGCCUAAGUGGGCGGGACAUGGGCGUGUGGGCGGCAGAAGUGAUGGCCGACUACCCACAAUGCAGCAGGCGUGUAGUGUGUGAAAGCCUUAGUGUUUUGCCCCACGCUGUAGCCUCACUGUUCCUAUUGGCCCCGGUACCUUCAGGAGGCGCCGGGGAAGUCCUGAGGGUGGCGAGGGGGGGAAACUGCGCCCUCUCGUACCCUCAGUGUCCCCUCUUCACCGCGUCUCCAGCCCUCGCUAACCUCGUGUCUUGGUAGUGUGAGGCAAUAUUCCCAGUGUUUUAUUGUGCGUGGGUCCCUCUUCUUGAUUGGUCAGUCGUGGUCAGUCAUGGUCGUCAGUAAGUCUAUGGUCCGUAUUCAGAAACGCCUUGCUCUCUCACCACGACUGUUUUCAAAGGCCACAGAGAUAAUUAGCAGGGUUCUCAAGAGUGUUUCGCCUGUUAAUAUUGUAGAAAUCGUGUUAUUCUGUCACUAGAGACGUAAAAACACCCUUAUAAACCCGAACCACUUCACCACGACUAUUUUCAAAGGCCAUAGAGAUGAUUAGCAGUGUUCUCAAGAGUGUUUCGCCUGCUAAUAUUGUAUAAAUCAUGUUAUUCUGUCACUAGAGGCGUAAAAACACCCUUAAAUGCCCAUGUAACUUCAAGUAGAGGCUUUUGAAUGUGGUGGAGGUGCGGCGCAGAAAUGUUUCAGUUUCCUGUGCCUUGGUAGCGUGAGGCAAUAUCCCCCGUGUUUUAUUGCGUCUGAAUCCCUGGUGUUACUCGUACAGCCGUGGUCAUAAGUCCUGUAACCUAAUUUUUUUCUUAUGACACACCGCUCUUGAUUACAAACUCCUCUGGCGCCCCACUUUUCCUUCAACAGUCUCAUUUAAAUCUUACUCAGGCUACAGCAGUGAUUCGCAAACUGUCCGCCGUGGCUAUCACCUAAUUCUCCUGGAUGGCUGCCAUUGGGGAGCUUUUAAAGAAGAUUAGGAAAAUUUACGAAUGAGGAUGAUAACUAGAAAUGAGUGGAUACAUAUUCAUAGGUGUAAGCCUGACUACCUCUUCCUGCUUCGUUAUUUUCUUAUGUUCUUGUGUGGAUAGGUGUAUUUUAAAAUGUGUGCCUUUUAGAAGUCCUGCACUAGACUGACAACUGUGCCUGGAGGAAGAGGAGACUCAUGAUAGAAGAUAAAAUGGUUGCAUGACUCGAUUUUUUUCCCCCAAAGCACACUGCACGUUAAAUUUAGAAUCUCUUUCAUGUUUGUGGUUAGAUUUGCUUUAUAUUUCACGGUUUUUCAAGUCAUUUCUAUCAUCAGCGUCCCCUAGCUCGUGGUAAUCUCGUGGUUCAGUUAGUAGUGUUGUUUAUAGCUAUCUGUUGUAUUUACUGCAUUGCUUUCUGAGUUUUGUGGUUAGUUUUAUGUGUUAUUCUCCCUAUCAUUAAGUUAUUUAUAUACUCAGUGUCCCCUGCUCUUGGUAAUUUUGGGUUUUUAGUUACUUGUUUGGGUUGUAGUUAUUUGAUUUAUUUACUGCAUUGUUUUCUGAAUUUUAUGGUUAGUUUUACGUCUUGUUUUCCUGUCAUGAAGUCAUUUCCAUCAUCAGUGUCUCUCGGCUCUUGGUAGUGUCGGGUUUUAGUUACUCGUGUGUGUUAUAGUUAUCUUAUUUAUGUGGAUUAUAGUUAUCUUAUUUACUGGGUUGCUUUCUGAGUCUCGUAGUUAAUUUCACGUCUUUCUUUCCUAUCAUGAAGUCAUUUCCAUCAUCAGUGUCUCUCGGCUCUUGGUAAUAUCGGGUUUUAGUUACUCGUGUGUGUUAUGUUUGUCUUAUUUACUGCAUCGCUUUCUGAGUCUCGUGGUUAAUUUCACGUCUUUCUUUCCUAUCAUGAAGUCAUUUCCAUCAUCAGUGUCUCUCGGCUCUUGGUAAUGUCGGGUCUGGAUAGUAGUGUGGGUUACAACUGUCUGAUAUACUGCAUCCCCUUAUGAGUUUUAUGCUUAGUUUUGCGUUUGACUUUAUCGUUCUCAAAUUAUUUUUAUCAGCAGUGUCUCCCACCUCUUGGUAAUUUCGGGGUUUAGUUAAUAGUGUGUGGUGUUACUUAAGCAUCAUGUCGCUUUAUGAGCCUUUGUGGUGAGUUCUGUGCUCUAUUGUAUCGUUUUCAAGGUAGUUGUAUCGUCAGUGUCUCCCAGCUCUUAGUAAUUUCGGGGUUUAGUUACUAGUGUGUGGUGUUACUUAAGCAUCAUGUCGCUUUAUGACUCCUUGUGGUGAGUUCUGUGUUUUAUUGUAUCGUUUUCAAGUCAGAGUAUCAUCAGUGUCUCCCAGUACUCGGUGUUUUCGAGGUUUAGUUAAUAGUGUGCAGCAGAGUUUAUUUUAUCAUAUACAUCAUAUUUAUUUUUUUCUUCUAAAGCUCAAUUUUAUGAGUAAGCUUUAUUUUCAUCAUCUUCAGGGGUUUCUCUCAUCAAGAAGUGCUGCGUCUGUGCUUUAUGUAAAAAUCAACCUCUGUCUCUGCUUAUCAACAUGGAUUACAAUAUAUCAUCAUAUGGGUACUUCACGUUAAUUGAAGACUUCCUAUUUUGUAACUUUCUAACCUUUCAAGUAUCAAGGAGUACUGUACUUGUAUCAGUUACGUCAAUCCGGGCAUUAAUUUAGAGUGGAUUACUUUGUUCUGAAUAAUUAUGCUCUUUCUUUCUGGGCAUUAAUUUAGAGUGGAUUACAUUGUUCUGAAUAAUUAUGCUCUUUCUUUCCCCUGAAGCUUAAUUUUAAACCUUAUUUUAUCAUCGAAUCAUCGUAUCAUAUAUAACAUCAUAUUUUUUUUUUUUCUCUCCUGAAGAUUAAUUUUACGAGUAAGCCUUAUUUCCAUUAUCUUGGUGUUUCUCUCAUCAGGAAGUAUUGUGCCUGUGCUUUGUAUGAACUGAACCUCUGUCUAUGCUUAUCAACGUGCAUUAGAAAACUAUUUUUUAUUAUUAUCCAUUCUGAUUUGUUAUCUUAAUUACACACGCCUCAUUUUUGUAUUCUUAUGUGAUUUCUAACAUUUAGGCAUUUCUUACUAACGUCUUAAAUAAGUUCCCUUAACCUACAGCUGUUUAAAACAUGAUGUCAUCUUACCCUUAGCCUGAAAUAAAAGUUUUUAAGAAGUAAGGCUUAAACUGUUAUAGUCUGCCCUAUCCUGUACAUGUUUUCUUUGAAGGGUGGAGUGGAGGCGUUGAUGGGUGCGCUAACUAUACCAUAACUUGACCUCCCUCAGUGUUAUUACUCGUAAACAGCAGACUUUUACGAGGCAGGGAACGAGACACUGGACAAAGAAAGGGUUAAGUAAGCGAGUAAACUUUUCUUCCCUCUUCCAAUCACAAUCUGCGAGGAAAACACACACACACCACCACCACCACCACCACCGUCUUGAUCGAAUCAUAUGCCAAAUAUGGAAACAUAAACGCUACCUCUCCCGCCAAUUAACUUUCUGUUCCAUGUUCCAAUGUUCAGACCACGAGAUAACAAUACAUCGCGUCGAGUGCCAACACACACACACACACACGCUCUAUCUCUCCCUCUCUCUAUCUCUUUUUCUCGAUCGAAGCUUAAGCCAAAUAUGGAACAGCAAACACACACACACACACCCAAUACAUAUCCGCAGGAAACACUCAGGGACACAAAGAAGCGAGGCGAGGUAUAAAACGAAGCCAACACGCGUAACCUCAGCUAUUCCAGAGUUUUACGCGGAAUCAGCCAGGACGUCGCACAUUCCACUAGCGUUCUGUAGCGGAGCGAGGGAACGAGCACCAGAUUAACCGAUACAGGGAAGGAAGAGGAGAUGGAAAAAGUAUUCGUGCCAGACUUAAGGGCUUGAAUCUCACUCUUUCUCGAUCGCCACGAAGCAUUCCUCUGUCUUAAUUAUUAUACAGCUAUGAAUGUUUCUCCUCCUUUGUUCUUCAGGGAUGUAAGAAAACGGACGCACGGUUUACAGGUAUGAGGUCCCGGAAUUCUAAGUCAGCAUACCGCGUUUAAAAGGUUUGCAUUCCUGUUCUUUUCUACACCAUCGCUAAGCCUGUUAAUUAUGAUUUUUUCUAUCACUCGCUCCUCUCUCUCUCUCUCUCUCUCUUUCAUUCUCUCUUCUGAGCGUAUAUCUUGUUCCCUAUUUUCUGAAGAGCAUAGCCUCACUCGAGUUAUUGCCCUUUUAACUACCGCGUCCCGUGUAAAAACUGGGAGAUGAUUAGAAUGCCUUUCCUGACGGUUUAAUUUGUCUAAACGUAGGUGGUAAGAGAGAGAGAGAGAGAGAGAGAGAGAGAAUAAACAACGCCCGGUAUAUCUACUAGCUAAUCAACUAAACAAAUGACUAAGGAAAAAUACUAUGAUUGAAUAUGCUAAGAGAAGAAAACAAAAAAUGCUGGACUAAAAUGAAAUGCUGCUUGAAAAACAAAUGGGUU